rnacentral:rRNA from 1 species
CCGGCGCACGGGUGAGUAACACGUAUCCAACCUGCCGUCUACUCUUGGACAGCCUUCUGAAAGGAAGAUUAAUACAAGAUGGCAUCAUGAGUCCGCAUGUUCACAUGAUUAAAGGUAUUCCGGUAGACAAUGGGGAUGCGUUCCAUUAGAUAGUAGGCGGGGUAACGGCCCACCUAGUCUUCGAUGGAUAGGGGUUCUGAGAGGAAGGUCCCCCACAUUGGAACUGAGACACGGUCCAAACUCCUACGGGAGGCAGCAUG